rnacentral:rRNA from 1 species
UACGUAGGUGGCAAGCGUUGUUCGGAAUUACUGGGCGUAAAGCGCGCGUAGGCGGCUCUUCAAGUCAGGCGUGAAAGCCCCGAGCUUAACUCGGGAACUGCGCUUGAUACUGUCGAGCUAGAGUGUGGAAGGGGCGAUUGGAAUUCCGUGUGUAGCGGUGAAAUGCGUAGAUAUACGGAGGAACACCAGUGGCGAAGGCGACUCGCUGGACUGAUACUGACGCUGAGGUGCGAAAGCGUGGGGAGCAAACAGG